UACGUAGGUGACGAGCGUUAUCCGGAAUUACUGGGCGUAAAGCGCACGCAAGCGGUUGGACAAGUCUGGCGUGAAAUCUCCUGGCUUAACUAGGAGCGGUCGCUGGAAACUGUUCGGCUUGAGGCGAUAAGAGGGGUGCAGAAUUCCCGGUGUAGUGGUGGAAUGCGUAGAGAUCGGGAGGAAUACCAGUGGCGAAAGCGGCACCCUGGCGUCGUACUGACGCACAUGUGCGAAAGCGUGGGGAGCGAACGGG
rnacentral:rRNA from 1 species